rnacentral:snRNA from 1 species
CAACCUAGUACGAGAGGAAC